rnacentral:rRNA from 1 species
CGCCUGGAACGGUGAGUGGAAGAAAGCUCCGGCGGCAUAGGAUGGGCCUGCGGCGUAUCAGGUUGUAGGGGGUGUAACGUACCCUCUAGCCAUCUACGCGUACGGGUGUUGGGAGACAUAGCCCGGAGAUGGAUUCUGAGACACGAAUCCAGACCCUACGGGGUGCAGCAGGCGCGAAAACUUGGCAAUGCGAGAAAUCGUGACCAGGGAACUCCAAGUGCAUCGGGUAAGACCGGUGCUUUUCUUGACUCUAAAUAGGUCUUGGAAUAAGGGGUGGGUAAGGACGGUGCCAGCCGCCGCGGUAAUACCGGCGCCUCAAGUGGUAGUCGCUUUUAUUGGGCCUAAAACGUCCGUAGCCGGUCUGAUACAUUCGUGGGUAAAUCAACCAGCUCAACUGGUUGAAUUCUGCGAGGACGGUCAGACUUGGGACCGGGAGAGGUGUGGGGUACGCUCAGGGUAGGGGUAAAAUCCUGUCAUCCUGAGCGGACCACCUGUUGCGAAGGCGCCACACUAGAACGGAUCCGACGGUCAGGGACGAAGCCUAGGGGCACGAACCGGAUUAGAUACCCGGGUAGUCCUAGGUGUAAACGCUGUGGACUUGAUGUUGGGGGUGCUCCGAGCACUCUCAGUGUCGAAGCGAAGGUGAUAAGUCCACUGCCUGGGAAGUACGGUCGCAAGGCUGAAACUUAAAGGAAUUGGCGGGGGAGCACCGCAACCUGAGGAUUGUGCGGUUUAAUUGGACUCAACGCCGGAA